rnacentral:lncRNA from 1 species
CGGGUUUUAUUCCCGGUUUUAUUCCCAAUUUUAUUCCCGGUUUUAUUCCCGGUUUCAUUCCCGGGUUUAUUCCCGGUUUUAUUCCCGGGUUUUUUCCCGGUUUUAUUCCCGGUUUUAUUCCCGGUUUUAUUCCCGGUUUCAUUCCCGGUUUUUAUUCCCAAUUUUAUUCCCGGUUUCAUUCCCGGUUUCAUUCCCGGGUUUUAUUCCCGGGUUUCAUUCCCGGUUUCAUUCCCGGGUUUUAUUCCCGGUUUUAUUCCCGGUUUUGUUCCCGGUUUUAUUCCCGGGUUUAUUCCCGGGUUUUAUUCCCAAUUUUAUUCCCGGUUUUAUUCCCAAUUUUAUUCCCGGUUUUAUUCCCGGUUUCAUUCCCGGGUUUAUUCCCGGUUUUAUUCCCGGUUUCAUUCCCGGUUUUUAUUCCCAAUUUUAUUCCCGGUUUCAUUCCCGGUUUUUAUUCCCAAUUUUAUUCCCGGUUUCAUUCCCGGUUUCAUUCCCGGGUUUUAUUCCCGGUUUUGUUCCCGGUUUUAUUCCCGGGGUUUAUUCCCGGGUUUCAUUCCCGGUUUCAUUCCCGGGUUUUAUUCCCGGGUUUCAUUCCCGGUUUCAUUCCCGGGUUUUAUUCCCGGUUUUAUUCCCGGUUUUGUUCCCGGUUUUAUUCCCGGGUUUAUUCCCGGGUUUUAUUCCCAAUUUUAUUCCCGGUUUUAUUCCCAAUUUUAUUCCCGGUUUUAUUCCCGGUUUCAUUCCCGGUUUCAUUCCCGGGUUUAUUCCCGGGUUUUAUUCCCAAUUUUAUUCCCGGUUUCAUUCCCGGUUUCAUUCCCAAUUUUAUUCCCGGUUUCAUUCCCGGUUUCAUUCCCGGUUUCAUUCCCGGUUUCAUUCCCGGUUUCAUUCCCGGUUUUUAUUCCCAAUUUCAUUCCCGGGUUUAUUCCCAGUUUUAUUCCCGGUUUUAUUCCCGGUUUCAUUCCCGGGUUUAUUCCCAAUUUUAUUCCCGGUUUCAUUCCCGGUUUUAUUCCCGGGUUUCAUUCCCGGUUUCAUUCCCGGGUUUUAUUCCCGGUUUUAUUCCCGGUUUUGUUCCCGGUUUCAUUCCCGGUUUUUAUUCCCGGUUUUAUUCCCGGUUUUAUUCCCGGGUUUAUUCCCAAUUUCAUUCCCGGGUUUAUUCCCGGUUUCAUUCCCGGUUUCAUUCCCGGUUUUAUUCCCGGGUUUUAUUCCCGGGUUUCAGUCCCAAUUUUAUUCCCGGUUUCAUUCCCGGGUUUAUUCCCGGGUUUAUUCCCGGUUUCAUUCCCGGGUUUAUUCCCGGGUUUAUUCCCGGAGGGAGCCCCGAAGGUUUCGCUCUCCCGCGACCUCUGGCACCCCCUGGUGGCAGCGGGGGGGACACAGAGGGGACACCGGGGGGACACCGGGGGGACACUGAGGGGACACCGGGGGGACAUUGAGGGGACACCGGGGGGACACCGGGGGGACACUGAGGGGACACCGGGGGGACAUUGAAGGGACAUCGAGGGGACAUUGAGGGGAAAUCGGGGGGAUAUUGACGGGACAUUGAGGGGAC